GACGAACGCUGGCGGCGUGCUUAACACAUGCAAGUCGAACGGAAAGGCCCUGCUUUUGUGGGGUGCUCGAGUGGCGAACGGGUGAGUAACACGUGAGUAACCUGCCCUUGACUUUGGGGUAACUUCAGGAAACUGGGGCUAAUACCGGAUAGGAGCUCCUGCUGCAUGGUGGGGGUUGGAAAGUUUCGGCGGUUGGGGAUGGACUCGCGGCUUAUCAGCUUGUUGGUGGGGUAGUGGCUUACCAAGGCUUUGACGGGUAGCCGGCCUGGGAGGGUGACCGGCCACAUUGGGACUGAGAUACGGCGCAGAAUCCUACGGGCGGCAGCAGUGGGGAAUAUUGCAGAAUGGGCGGAAGCCUGAUGCAGCAACGCCGCGUGCGGGAUGACGGGCUUCGGGUUGUAAACAGAUUUCGCCUGUGACGAAGCGUGCGUGACGGUAAUGGGUAAAGAAGCACCGGCUAACUACGUG
rnacentral:rRNA from 1 species